rnacentral:rRNA from 1 species
CAAUAGCGUAUAUUAAAGUUGUUGCGGUAAAAAAGCUCGUAGUUGGAUUUCUACCGAAGAUAGCCGGUCGGGUCUUCGACCUUGUAUCUGGUUUUGUCUUUGGUAUCCUCAUAGGGAACGUUUCUGCGCUUUAUUGCGUGGUGCGGUAUCUAUGACUUUUACUUUGAGGAAAUUAGAGUGUUCACGGCAGGCAAACGCCUUGAAUAUAUUAGCAUGGAAUAAUAACAUAGGAUCUUCGUCCUAUUUUGUUGGUUUCUAGAACUUAGGUAAUGAUUAAUAGGGACAAUUGGGGGCAUUCGUAUUAACGCGUCAGAGGUGGAAUUCUUGGAUUGCGUUACGACGAACUACUGCGAAAGCAUUUGCCAAAGAUGUUUUCAUUGA